rnacentral:rRNA from 1 species
UUGGAGGGCAAGUCUGGUGCCAGCAGCCGCGGUAAUUCCAGCUCCAAUAGCGUAUAUUAAAGUUGUUGCAGUUAAAAAGCUCGUAGUUGAAUUUCGGGGUUCUACCGUUGGUCGGGCUAACCAGUCUGUACUAGCGUGUAGAAUUCCUACCUUCUGGGGAACCAUCAUGUUAUUAAUUUAGCGUGGUGGGAAACCAGGACCUUUACCUUGAAAAAAUUAGAGUGUUCAAAGCAGGCUUACGUCUGAAUACAUUAGCAUGGAAUAAUAAAAUAGGACGGUGGUCCUGUUUUG